rnacentral:rRNA from 1 species
GACGAACGCUGGCGGCGCGCUUAACACAUGCAAGUCGAGCGAAGCGGCGGACGGGUGAGUAACACGUGAGUAACCUGCCUUAGACAUUGGGAUAGCCUCGGGAAACCGGGAUUAAUACCAAAUGGUCUAAGAUGGACUCGCGUCCCAUUCGCUAGUUGGUGAGGUAACGGCCCACCAAGGCGACGAUGGGUAGGCGGCCUGAGAGGGUGGACGGCGACAUUGGGACUGAGCAACGGUCCAGACUCUACGGUAGGCAGCAGUGGGGAAUAUUGCACAGUGGAGUGAACUCUGAUGCAGCGACGCCGCGUGAACGAAGAAGGCUUUCGAGUCGUAAAGUUCUUUGAUGUGGGAAGCGGUACCAUAAGAAAAAGCCCCGGCUAACUACGUGCCAGCAGCCGCGGUAAUUC